AGUACAACCCCAUUCUUCUGCUGC
rnacentral:siRNA from 1 species